rnacentral:tRNA from 1 species
AAGAUUUUAAGUUAAAAAAACUGUUUACCUUCAAAGUAAAAAUUAUUAAAAAUAAAUCUUA